UACGAAGGGGGGCUAGCGUUGCUCGGAAUCACUGGGCGUAAAGCGCACGUAGGCGGCUUCUUAAGUCAGGGGUGAAAUCCUGGAGCUCAACUCCAGAACUGCCUUUGAUACUGAGUAGCUUGAGUCCGGGAGAGGUGAGUGGAAUUGCCGGUGUAGUGGUGAAAUGCGUAGAGAUCGGCAGGAACACCCAGGGGGAAACCAGUCGACUGGGCAUCUACUGACGCUGAGGUGCGAGAGCGUGGGGAGCGAACAGG
rnacentral:rRNA from 1 species